ACUCUAACAUCAACCAAAUCAUUUCUUGAGACUUAAAUAAAUAAAUAAGAAAAACGCAAAAUUUUCAACUAUAAAUAGACCCAGCUAAGCAUGAAAAAUUUCAGCGGUUGUUCAAUCUCUCUCUCUCUGAAUCUCUCUAAAGCCUCGUUUACCUUUAAAUCAACGACAUUUAAUUUCAUUUUCCUUUUUCCCAUAUAAUUCCAAGCUAUGAUCUCAACAUAUCUCUAUUUUUUUCAUUAAUUUACAGUAGAUCUGUGUUGGUGCGAUUUACUGUACAGUGCUUUUCUUCUAAGACGAUCAUUAGAUUUUGUUUCAAUUGUUGAGUUUAAAAAUGUAACCUUGUGUUUUUGUUGAAUUUAAUUUAGAUUUUUUCUAAUUUUAUGAAAUUUUCUUUGAUGCUUGUGAUCUGGGAUUGUAGAUUUGAGAUCAAAUUUUAAAGAUCAUGGUUUUGUGAAAACAGGUAAAGAAGAAAUGGCACGUGGGAAGAUCAGAGAGUAUGAUUCCAAGAGGCUGUUGAAGGAGCACUUCAAGAGGCUCUGCGGUAACGAAUUGGUUAUUAAAUUGGCACAAGUGUAUUUUCUUAUAUUUAUAUCUUUAAUUUUUGGGCAUAUUGAGUUCAUGGAUUGACAAUGACAAGCUUCUUAAUUUUUGUAUAAUGUUUGUUUCUGCUGAAAAAAGUCUCCAUUUUUACUAUUCUGUAAUCUUUGUAGUCGAAACACCAAUGGGCAUUAGUCCAAAUGGUAUGACCUCUCAUCCCAAAAAGAAAUUUCAGAGUUCAAAUCCUGCUAUAGGUCAAUAUUGAGAAAAAAAAAAAAAUACUUAUAGUCAAAAUAUUUAUUAUUUAUUAGAGCACUUGUGGUUAGGGAAAAGAUUAAUCUAUACCUACAAGUGCAACAACUGAGCUUCCCGUCACACCUAAAGUGUCAAAUGGAUUUUAAACUAGGUGCCAAGACCAUUCUCUUUCUGAAGAUCCACUGUGCUUUUCCGUGCCUAAUGAUUCCAAAUAUUUGUCAUGUAAGUUCAAUAUCAUCAAGAACUGACUCUCACAAAAUCUAAGUUGAUGUCUAAAUAUUAACAUGUAUCUAGUUUCAGUAUGUACAAUAGGUCAAUAUCGUAGUUUUGGUUCAUGGUUAAAUGUUCUACUUAUUUCAUCGUAUGAGAGAGGGAAGUUUCUAGCAAUAUCAUUCUUUGAAUAUCUUAAAUUGGAUUUUUAAUUUGCUUGAAAAUUUACAUUGUUUAUAGAGAUUUGAUCAGAUAUGUAACAGAAGUUGUAUUGUUUAUAGAGAUUUGGUAAAAACUUGUAACAUUGAAUCUGGUAAUUCUAAUUUGUUCUUGCAAAAGAUUUAUUGAUAGGCUAUAAAGCAUGGAAAUGGACACGGAACACAGGUCGGUGCGACACGAUACAAACACUACAGUAUGACAAAUCUAAAAAAAGAAAAGAAAAGAAAAGAAAAGAAUAUGGACGGGGCAGGGAUCCGAGAAUAAAUAAUAAUGUAAUAUAUUAUUAUACAUAUAAAAAAUUGAUUUUUGAUCAUUUUGUCCACAUUAGGAGCUUAGUGCUAUAUGUGUGUUAUUUUUAUUUUCUAGAACUUAUAUUAUUUUUUCAUUAACCUAUAAUAUGAUUUAAAUUUGCAUUGGAACCUAUUUUUAGAAACGUAAUUGUAAAACUACCCUGCCAUGUCCUAACUGUGCCUUUGAUGUGUCCCCUUUGUGUCGAUGCCAUGCGUAGCAAGAAAAAAAUAAUAAUUAUAAAAUUUAAAAUCAAACUCAGGGACACUCUUAGCCAUGUUGGACAAGGGUCCGCCAUGUCCUCGUCUUCGACGCAUCCAUAGCACCUCUAGAGGAGUAUCAGUGCUUCCUAGGUAAUCAGUAAGAAAUCAGCAGAAUUUGGAGCAUCGAACAUGAAAGGUUUUGGUUUUUGCACCAAUCUUUUGAACCACUUUGGCUAGCAAGGUGAUCUGUGAUGAAUGAAACAUGAAAUAGAUGCUCUUUGUUACAUAAGUCUGUCAAAUAACCGGGCUUGACCUCCAGUAUAUCUUUUUCUAAUGUUUCAUAGAGCUUUGGGUUGUCAAAGAAACCAAGGCCUUGAGAGCGUGAAAUAGAUGCUGUUUGGAAAUGAGAAACACUGAUUGAAGCAUGAAAAAUAUAUAUUUUUAAAAUUUUGAUCAUUCAUAUUUGUUGAAUAAGUUACCAAAGUGAAGAAUGGCUUUAAUUGAUCUUUUAUACAAUACAAGCAGGGCAGUAAGAUGCAGCUCGCUGAACUUAACGAUGUGUUAUGUCCUUAAUGUGGCAUAGAUUACAGAAUCAACGGAUUUCAAUGGGCUAGUAGAAAAGGAACCAUGGCUCUCGUCAGGGAAACUUGUUGUGAAACCUGAUAUGUUGUUUUGAAAUUGUGGGAAGAGCGGUCUAGUUGCGUUAAAUCUAGAUUUUGCUCAUGCUGAUACUUUUGUGAAAGAGUGACAUGGGAAAGAGGUAGAGAUGGGGGAUGUAAAGGACCUAUAACAACAUUCAUUGUUGAACUUAUCAAAAAAAAAAAAAAAAAACAUUCAUUGUUGAACAAAAUAUCCCACACAAUGAAGAAUUUUAACCAUAAUAUUGUUUCAGAGCGACUUGGACGUAGCAUAAGCUUUUCUGAAUGUGGAGGAAUCGAAAUUGAAGAGAACUGGGACAAGGUACUUUUGAUCAUGGAAUUUGCUGUUUAACCCUACAAAAUGAUAAAAUUCUUCUGAAACCGAAAUGGACUUUUUUCUUUGUAGCAUGUUAUUUUGUAUAUCUAAAAAUUUAUGGAAGUUAUUUCUUCCAUGUCCUGGUUAAAACUAUAUUUGUCC